UCAGGAAGUGAGGUUUCCCUAAUGAGACUCUGUCAUCUUCAAACAGUGCGAUAGCGUCUGCGGCCACUCUCCACUGACCGCUUCUCCAAACCUACAGCUUUUUUUUUCCGUAGGACAGAGUGAGUCAAAAACAGAGGUUGCUACAGGAGAGGAACUGUCUCAAGGUUGUUCCAGUUUUUGUCCUGAAAGUCCGGAGGCUCUGGAGCCAGAGCUCUGCGUGGUCAUGGUCAGCACGGUGGUGAUUCCCAGACCAACUCGGGCAGGCGCUGCGUCCAUGUUGAUCCAGAAAGAGACCCAGGACAGGAUGACGAUAAGCAGCGACGGGAUGUACAUCUGGAUCAGACAGCUUUAAAACACAUCUAUCUGUGGAUCUGUUGGAUUUUCUCUGGAGUGCUGGACGGGACAGAUGGUUUUCAGCCACAUCUCAUGGAGAGAGAAACAGAGCGUGGCAGCAGCCCUCAGUUUGCCCCCAUCACCGGCUCCAUCCUCCAGAUUUGGUCCUUUCAUUUUCCCUUUCUCUUUUCUUAUUGCUCCUUUAAUCCUCCUUAUUUCCCCUUGUUUUUUAUCAUUUUCCUCACUAAUUUAUUUCAUAUCUUUGUUCCCCCUUUUUGAAUCAUUAUUUUAUUGGUUUCCCCCGUGUCCCUCUGUGGUGGCAUAGCGGGCUAAGUCCACGUCUUUGAAACGGGGACCUGAAUUUGAGUCCCGCUUGCGUCACAAAGGCCGUUCAGCGUUAAAACUCAAAUAUGUGCGUGAAUUUUAAUGACUUGCUGUGGCAAACCCUGAAUAAAGGACUAGCUAAAAU